GUGGUCAUUAAGGACAAAGAGGAGAGAGACGGAUGUUUGCUCUGAGGAAGGCCUGCUGCUCAGGGGUGCCCUGCUGGCUUCAGGAGCCAAGUCUCCACCGGACAACUCUGGCCUGGCUGUCCUGCCACCUCCAGAACUUUCCCAGAGCUGAGGCUUUUCAUCCGAGACCCUGUUUCCCUACCUCCAGUUGUCCCUGCCUCUCCUCAAGAUGUUCGGAGUAUCUGCAAAGGUCUUCAAGUUACAAACAAUAACAAACACUACCAAAGAACAGGCUUCAGAAAAAUGGAAAUUGAUCUAACAAGGAAGAAGUAUUAUGAAACAAUGUUAAAAAGAAAUUGGUAAUAAUUGCCAACAGAGAAAACCCUUCAAAGAGAGUUGCUGCUUUUCCUAAGGGUUUCCAAGGAUCCAAAAACCUUCGGAAGUUCCAAGGAUCAAGUCCCAGGAUCUAAGCUGGACCUUUCCUGGAACAAAUUCCUUCAGACAAAUUCUCCACCAGACCAUCAACUCAGGAGGGCAAACAAGGAGCUUGUUUUCAAGAGCUGGAGCCAAACCACCCAGAGCUUCCUGUGCCAGGAUACCCCCCAAGGCUUCUCUGAAGGUCCUCCCUUUGUGCCUGAGUCUCUGCUUCUGAUGUGGUUCUGCAGAAGCAAACUAGAGCAUCCCCAGCCUGGUGGACACCUCCAUGCUGAGCUCAGCGCUGAGCUUUGAGGGUGUCUAAAACGGUCCCUGGAAUGGAUCAGAUGCUUACAAAGACAGACUUAAUGAGUGAACUUUACCAAAGAUCAGAGCUUUUGAACAAUGCACCCCCAACUCUUAGUAUCUACACUAAGUGUUCUCUGAUUGGGUGUGAUCUGAUGAAGAUUGUAGUGUUGGCAGGGUCUGGGGCAAGAGAGGAGGGGGAAUGUGGUCCACGAUCACAUUUACCAGUUAACGCUCAACUUCAGGAGCUCAUAAGAAAGCCCUUAUAAAAAAUGAGAUGAUGGUGUUUACAGUUUGAAUGUGGGAAUGAUCUAUCCUUCCUUGAGGACAUGACCUUCCUCGGGUUGAUCUUAGAACUAAGGGAGAUGGUUCCUGCCCAUCACUCCAGCCUAAUUUUGUACCACCAUCACUUCCUGCCUGCCAGCCUUAUUUUGCUUCUCAUGUUCUAGUGUCAAAGAUUUGGGUGGGUAAAGAACAAGAUGUAGGGGUAAAAUCUAAGCAUAUCAAAACUAUAGUUACUGACUUCAGACACCCUCCUUUACCUCAUGCUAUUCUUUUUGCUUCCUCUAGAAAAAGGCCAAUAUUUGGGAGCCUCAAGCCCCUCCCAGUUGUGCUAAAAGGACUCCAACUUUACAGCCAGCAACACUUAUUGCAGGGAAAAUGACUAAUGGGAAAUACAACUGAGGCCAAAUCCUAAAAGCCAAAGCUGGUUCUCACUCAAGAAAAAUAAACAAA